rnacentral:misc_RNA from 1 species
UCCCCGUUGCCGGGGCAGUCUGGCUAGAAAAAUACAACUAACCAUAAGGGUUGCGCUCGUUAAAGGACUUAACCUAACAUCUCACGACACGAGCUGACGACGGCCAUGCAACACCUGUCACUUGGUUCCCGAAGGCACUCACUGCUUUCACAGUAAUUCCAAGGAUGUCAAACCCUGGUAAGGUUCUACGCUUACCAUCGUAUUAAACAACACACUCCACCGCUUGUGCAGCUCCCCGUCAAUUCCUUUGAGUUUUAGUCUUGCGACCGUACUACCCAGGCGGAAUACUUAACGCGUUAGCUUCGCUACAUACCGGGUCGAUACGGCAUACAGCUAGUAUUCAUAGUUUACGGCGUGGACUAC